UCCAAACCCACCCUUUCUGUUUGCAGCUGUAAUGCUGGGUAGAAAGAGUGCAUUUAACAGUUAUUUGGUUUAUUUGAUUGAAGCUGGGUCCUUCCCAGCAGUGCCUUGUCCCAGCAGUGCCAUAUAAUGAAUCUCUGUAUCCAGUUGUUGCAUCAGGAAAGCAAGAGUGGAACAGUACUUCUAGGAUGAGGAAAUUGAGAUACAGAAAGGUGAAGAAAUAAUGUCACAUAGUAGUGGAGUCAGAAUAAAAAUGCAGACAGGAACCACUUGGGUGCCCAGCUGCUGUCCAUUCUCUACACUUAUCCCACCUGAUGGAAGGCUGUUAAGAAAAACAUCACUGCAAUGCCUAAUAAACAGACAUGGGUCCCAGACCCAAUAAGAGUGAAACCAUCCCCCUAUUUAAAUGAAAUUAUGGCUGAUGAGAAAGACAAAUUAAUUUCUCUGUCCCUAGUAUUACACAAAACUUUGGAUGCUGCCAUUGUUACAAUUUUAUUUUCCCCAGGAGCUCAGAGUCCCACCUUCAUUCUUUUUGUUUAAUGCUUAAGCUUGCCUGUCCACCUAUGGAAGACUAGAAUGAGCAAAGACCAUGUAUUCAAUGAUCUGUAAAUCUAACAGGAAACAAUAUAAUAAAUAUAUUGUGUUUGCUAACCAAAUCUGUGAAUGAUUAGAUCGACUGGUUAAUGAUUAGAUGGAUUAACACAUCAUUUCUAUUUUCUCUCUCCUCCCCUACUUCUUGUUUUAAUGAUACCUUCCAAGUUUUAUUUCUCCAAGCCUAACCCCUUACAUAAUACAAGAGGACAACAGUUUGCAAAAUAAAUAUCUGUUGGCCCUAACUGGUAAAUACUGAAAUAGAUUUCAAGUAAUGUGAGUGUUUUUGAAACCACCUAAAUCUGUAAGCCACCCUGCAAGGAACAAGGGUAGCAAAGUGAAUAAGCCAGACAUGUAAAAAUAAAGAUGACAAAAUGGAAGGCAAUUAAUGCCUGUAAUGGAGGUGGGGAAGGGGGGAAUGACAAGUUAAUAAGAAAUUUAUUUUUAAAUGCUAUCAUCUGCCAUAAAAUAUCCAUGCUUAUUUUAGAAAAUAUGUAAAAUGUUUAAGAAUUAAACAUCUUUAAAAAAAUCACAUGAACUCAUCACCCUGCAACAAAACACACACAGAUGAGUGCACACACUUAAACACACAUUAAUUUUCAAUUAGUAUAUAAAGUUAAUAUCCUGCUAAGUACAAGAUACUAUAUCAUGAGCACUUUGUCUC
rnacentral:lncRNA from 10 species